UCUCUGGUCGCCAUGACAGUCCAAUUAAAUGCAUUUAAUAGUUAAAAAUAAGUUAAUUACUGUAUACUUAUUCCUAACGUAUGACAUGAAAGGUUUUUUUUCAUUCACAGUCCGAAUGCCCACUAAAUUAGAGAAGCUGCAAUUGGAAUGUCUACGACUUCCACCGUACUACCCGGACGUUGCUGCAAAAGAUUAACACUUUUCCGUAAUAUGGAUAACUAUUUACAAGGAAAAAAAUUGGACUCCGAUGUGUCUAAGUAAUACGGCCUUAGGGAGAGACGAAUCGGGAACCACCUGGGGCCGUGCGCUUACAGGGGCCUCGCGCGGUGCCUUGGAGGACCUUGUUUACGAUAUUACGGAUGGAACUAUUAAAACCGGGGAACUGUUUUUCUCUCCGCCCGGGCACCGCGUCGUGAAGGUGAUUAAAGUAUGAAAUAAAAUAGCUUUUAUUGUGACUA